AGGGGUAGUGUAUGGUAAGGCCUGCCCAGUGAUUAAUUAAACGGCUGCGGUAUAUUGACCGUGCUAAGGUAGCAUAGUCAUUUGUCUUUUAAUUGGAGGCUGGAAUGAAGGGUUUAACAAAGGAUAGUGUCUUUAUUUUAAAUUUGUAAUUUAUAAUAAGAGUAAAAAUACUCUGGUGUGAUUAAGGGACGACAAGACCCUAAAAGCUUUAUUUUUAAGAUAAGUUUGAGUUUAAUAUAGAAUAUUGAGUUUAACUGGGGUAGUUUUUUUGUAAAAUCUGAGGUUGUAAAAGGCAUGUAAAGUGGGGUUAGGUCCUUUAGAUAAGGAUAAUUUGAGUGAGUUACUUUAGGGAUAACAGCGUAAUAGUCCUAGGGAGAUCGUAUCUAUGGGAUUGAUUGCGACCUCGAUGUUGAAUUAAAAGAUCAGUGUAGAGCAGAAGCUACAGGGUGAGGG
rnacentral:rRNA from 1 species